UUGUCGUCAGCUCGUGUCGUGAGAUGUUGGGUUAAGUCCCGCAACGAGCGCAACCCUUGAUCUUAGUUGCCAGCAUUCAGUUGGGCACUCUAAGGUGACUGCCGGUGACAAACCGGAGGAAGGUGGGGAUGACGUCAAAUCAUCAUGCCCCUUAUGACCUGGGCUACACACGUGCUACAAUGGACAGAACAAAGGGCAGCGAAACCGCGAGGUUAAGCCAAUCCCACAAAUCUGUUCUCAGUUCGGAUCGCAGUCUGCAACUCGACUGCGUGAAGCUGGAAUCGCUAGUAAUCGCGGAUCAGCAUGCCGCGGUGAAUACGUUCCCGGGCCUUGUACACACCGCCCGUCACA
rnacentral:rRNA from 1 species